AACGCGAAGAACCUUACCUGGGCUCGAACGGCUCCCUAACGACUGUGGAAACAUGGUUACCCCGCAAGGGGGUGGAGUCGAGGUGCUGCAUGGCUGUCGUCAGCUCGUGUCGUGAGAUGUUGGGUUAAGUCCCGCAACGAGCGCAACCCUCGCCCUUAGUUGCCAGCCCGCAAGGGCGCACUCUAGGGGGACUGCCACGGAUAACGUGGAGGAAGGUGGGGAUGACGUCAAGUCCUCAUGGCCUUUAUGUCCAGGGCUACACACGUGCUACAAUGGUCGGUACAAUCCGUCGCCAACCCGCGAGGGGGAGCCAAUCGGAAAAAGCCGACCUCAGUUCGGAUCGCAGUCUGCAACUCGACUGCGUGAAGCUGGAAUCGUCUAGUAAUCGCGGAUCAGAACGCCGCGGUGAAUACGUUCCCGGGCCUUGUACACACCGUAGAGAC
rnacentral:rRNA from 1 species